UGGGGAAUAUUGGACAAUGGGGGAAACCCUGAUCCAGCCAUGCCGCGUGUGUGAAGCAGGUCUUCGGAUUGUAAAGCACUUUAAGCUGGGAGGAAGGGUUGUAGAUUAAUACUCUGCAAUUUUGACGUUACCGACAGAAUAAGCACCGGCUAACUUCGUGCCAGCAGCCGCGGGAAUACGAAGGGUGCAAGCGUUAAUCGGAAUUACUGGGCGUAAAGCGCGCGUAGGUGGUUUGUCAAGUUGGAAGUGAAAGCCCCGGGCUCAACCUGGGAACUGCUUUCAAAACUGGGAAGCUAGAGUAUGGCAGAGGGUGGUGGAAUUUCCUGUGUAGCGGUGAAAUGCGUAGAUAUAGGAAGGAACACCAGUGGCGAAGGCGACCACCUGGGCUAAUACUGACACUGAGGUGCGAAAGCGUGGGGAGCAAACAGG
rnacentral:rRNA from 2 species